rnacentral:rRNA from 1 species
GGAAUUUUGCGCAAUGGGGGAAACCCUGACGCAGCAACGCCGCGUGAAGGAAGAAGGCUUUCGAGUUGUAAACUUCUGUUUCGGGGGACGAUAAUGACGGUACCCCGGCAGCAAGCCCCGGCUAACUCCGUGCCCGCAGCCGCGGUAAUACGGGGGGGGCAAGCGUUGUUCGGAAUUACUGGGCGUAAAGGGCGCGUAGGCGGUUCGAGAAGUUUUGGGUGAAAGCCCCGGGCUCAACCCGGGAAGGUCCCGGAAAACCAUCGGACUGGAGUGCUGGAGAGGCAAGCGGAAUUUCUGGUGUAGCGGUGAAAUGCGUAGAUAUCAGAAGGAACAUCGGGGGCGAAGGCGGCUUGCUGGACAGCAACUGACGCUGAGGCGCGAAAGCCAGGGUAGCAAAC